UACACUCCUGCGGGAGGCAGCAGUGGGGAAUUUUGGACAAUGGGCGAAAGCCUGGUCCAGCCAUGCCGCGUGCAGGAUGAAGGCCUUCGGGUUGUAAACUGCUUUUGUACGGAACGAAACGGCCUUUUCUAAUAAAGAGGGCUAAUGACGGUACCGUAAGAAUAAGCACCGGCUAACUACGUGCCAGCAGCCGCGGUAAUACGUAGGGUGCAAGCGUUAAUCGGAAUUACUGGGCGUAAAGCGUGCGCAGGCGGUUAUGUAAGACAGUUGUGAAAUCCCCGGGCUCAACCUGGGAACUGCAUCUGUGACUGCAUAGCUAGAGUACGGUAGAGGGGGAUGGAAUUCCGCGUGUAGCAGUGAAAUGCGUAGAUAUGCGGAGGAACACCGAUGGCGAAGGCAAUCCCCUGGACCUGUACUGACGCUCAUGCACGAAAGCGUGGGGAGCAAACAGGAUUAGAAACCCCAGUAGUCCCAUG
rnacentral:rRNA from 1 species